rnacentral:precursor_RNA from 1 species
ACCAUUUUAGAUCAGAGGAAUUCAAUAAACUAUUAGAAUCUUACUUAGUAAGUAUUAUUUCUUAUCUAGUCAAAGUCGAUAUGAAUUGAAUAUAGAAAAUAAUAGAAUUUCAAAUCAAUAUUGAAUAUUAUAGAACACAACGAUUAAUAGAACGAUAUAGAAUUAUCGAAUUUUAAUUUAUUUAUCACUUCGAAUAUUAUUAAACUUGAUAUAUUAUUAUUUUUUUUUUUUUUUGAGUUUUAGAUAAUUAAAGUUUUCCUUUUUGAUUUUGAAUUCAAAUGGCUUUUGAACUUCUUUUUAUUGUAUUAUUUGAUUCUAUAUCAUAUAUUUGUAUUUGAUUUCGAAUUCAAAAUGGUUAGUUAUAACUAAUGAGACAUUACCCACUUUCAGUCAUAAAGAAGUAAGUAGGAAAGGCGGAAAUUAAGACGACAAAAAGAGAAUCGACCCUUCAAGUAUUAAAAAUUACAUCGAAAAUGUGACAGGUAGAUAUAUACCUAGGAUAUAUUCAUCUCUAUUGAAUUGCAGAUACAGAACUAGUACAAUCAUAGUCGAUUGAACCAAAUCCAAGUAUGGUUUUCCAUAGAAAAUAGGUAAGAGAUAAAAGAAAACACUUUUUCGAGAUAGGAAUACGGUACGGUAUCUAAUAAAUUCAACGAGUUCAGUAUAAAUGAAAGAAAAAAAUAAACGACAUCACAAUGAAAUUUGAAUCUCACACAAAAUGAGGGGGAUAUGGCGAAAUUGGUAGACGCUACGGACUUAAUUAGAUUGGGCCUUGGUAUGGGAAACUCGCCAAGUGAAAACUUUCAAAUUCAGAGAAACCCCGGAAUUACUAAAAGGGGUAAUCCUGAGCCAAAUCCUGUUUUCUGAAAACAAAGGUUCAGAAAGUGAAAAAGGGGAUAGGUGCAGAGACUCAAUGGAAGCUGUUCUAACAAAUGGAGUUGGUUGUGGGAGUAGAGAAGUCUUUCCAUCCAAAAUUCAGUAAAGUAUAAGUAUUAAGGAUGGGGUGAAGGAUAAACGUAUAUACUAGUAUAUUAAAUGAGUAAUGACAGCCUUUUGUUUUUUUUUGUUUUUUCUAUGAAAAAACAAAGAAUUGGUGUGAAUAGAUUCUACGUUGAAGAAAGAAUCGAAUAUUCAUUGAUCGAAUGAUUCACUCCAUAGUCUGAUAAAUCUUUUCAAGAACUGAUUAAUCGGACGAGAAUAAAGAUAGAGUCCCAUUCUACAUGUCAAUGCUGGCAGCAACGAAAUUUAUAGUUAAGAGGAAAAUCCGUCGACUUUUAAAAUCGUGAGGGUUCAAGCCCCUCUAUCCCCAAAUAAACUAGUUGACUCCCCAACUAUCUAUUUAUCUAUCUUUCGUUUUGUUAUCGGUUCAAAAUUCCUUAUCCAUUCACUUUCUUUUUUAGAAUUGAUCGGUGCGGAAAUGCCCUUUUCUUAUCCCAUUUAGAUGAUAUACAUACAAAUGAACAUCCUUGAGCAAGAAAUACCCAUUUGAAUGAUUUACAAUCUAUAUAAUUACUAAUACUGAACUGAAACUCCCAAAGUCCUCUUUUUUAAGAUCCAAGUCAAGCAAUUUCAGUACUUAACUAAAACUUUUGAAUUCCCUUUCUUUCUUUUAAUUGACACAGCCCCCAUUUUCGAGUAAAAUGAGGAUGCUAUGUUGCGACUGGUCGGGAUAGCUCAGCUGGUAGAGCAGAGGACUGAAA